GUAAGGAAUAUUGGGCAAUGGAGGCAACUCUGACCCAGCCAUGCCGCGUGAAGGAUUGACGGCCCUCUGGGUUGUAAACUUCUUUUGUACGGGAAUAACCCUCCGGACGUGUCCGGAGCUGAAGGUACCGUAAGAAUAAGGAUCGGCUAACUCCGUGCCAGCAGCCGCGGUAAUCCGGAGGAUCCAAGCGUUAUCCGGAUUUACUGGGUUUAAAGGGUGCGUAGGCGGAUUAAUAAGUCAGUGGUGAAAGCCUGCAGCUUAACUGCAGAACUGCCAUUGAUACUGUUAGUCUGGAGUAUGGUUGAGGUAGCUGGAAUGUGUCAUGUAGCGGUGAAAUGCUUAGAGAUGACACAGAACACCGACGGCGAAGGCAGGUUACCAACCCAUUACUGACGCUGAGGCACGAAAGCGUGGGGAUCAAACAGGAUUAGAAACCCGAGUAGUCC
rnacentral:rRNA from 1 species